rnacentral:lncRNA from 1 species
UUUUCCCGAGUUUUAUACACAGGGAGCAGGCAGGCACAGGCAGUUCUAAGAAAGAGUAAACAACAAACAUUUAUCUUAAGACUUGGAACAGUAUCUAAGUGAACGUUUUCAGGGCAUUAGCCUUAUCUCCUUAAGUUCCCAAAGCUUCACAUGCCCAGGACAGAAUUAAUAUAAAUGAGAAAAUCCAUUUUUGUAGGCAUGGACCAGUAGAACACAUGCGAUUAAGAUGGUAAUGAGAAACAGUGGCUAAUCUGCAGCAGAUCCACAAUCACACCCCAGCUGAAGAUGCCCUCACGUGGGUCAUCCAACUGAGCUCACCAACUCGGCACACAAAGCAGGGUGGCCAAAGUGAGCACCGUGGCUGGAAACACUAACUGCUUAACCAUUCACA